ACCCCGCUCGGGGUUCUGCUGACCAGUCACUCGAGAUCCCUCCUUGGGCUUUAUUAUGUCACAGGAACCCAGAAUGGAAUGCGGAGGAUUAAAUUCCAAGCCCUUCCCGGCUGGCAGGGCCCGGAGGGAGGGGAGCCGCCGGCCAUCUGAGCUCUCGGGUGCCCCCUACUGAGUGUCUUUGUCCCUCCGGCUCGGAGGCAGGCAGCGGCUGGUGCCAUGGUCCAGGCCUCCUGAGGCCCCGGAGGCAGCAGGCAGCUCGGCCCUUCGAGCUCUUACAGCAUCCAGGGACACGGAGGGAAAGUGCUGUGUGAACCGACGUUCCACCCAGAAAUGGAAGGAAUUUCAUCUUCAUACAGGAAGCUGGAGUACUUCUGUAAAGAGAAUCUUCACAUUAGUUAUUUGCUAACCUGAGGCACAUUUCUUAUAAGAAAGUGCCCGUGGCUGAAUUCAGGGUACGCUGUGUUGACCAGUCAACGAGCAGAGCCAGGAAACUCGGUAUCAGAGAAAAGCGGGAGAAAGGAAUGAGCAGACGUAAGGCGAGCAGACUAAAAGCCCACAUUUGGGAAGCGGAUGCAUCAGGAUUGGGCUUUGGAGCUGGUCGGAUGUGAUUCAGAAUCUUGGCUCCAGCCAGUCGCUAGCUGUGUGACCUCGAUUAAGCUGAGGCCUUCCAAAAGUGAGGAAAAAUAACUUCUUAAAGCAAA